GGGGUGCAGUGUGUGUGAGUGAGGGUGCUGUGCAUGUCAGGGGUGCAGUGUGUGUGUGUGUGUGUGGGUGGGUGCAGUGUGUGUGUGCUGUGAGUCUCAGGGGUGCAGUGUGUGUGUGAGUGAGGGUGCUGUGAGUGUCAGGGGUGCAGUGUGUGUGUGUGUGUGUGUGGAGUGAGGGUGCUGUGAGUGUCAGGGGUGCAGUGUGUGUGUGUGUGCUAUGAGUGUCAGGGGUGUGUGUGUGUGUGUGUGUGUGUGUGUGUGUGUGUGCUGUGAGUGUGUCAGUGUGUGGGUGAGUGCAGGGGUGCAGUGUGUGUGUGUGUGUGUGCUGUGAGUGUCGGGUGCAGUGUGUGUGUGUGUGCUGUGAGUGUCAGUUGCGGUGUGUGUGUGUGUUUGUGUGUGUGUGCUGUGGUGUCAGGUGCGGUGUGUUUGUGUGUGUGUGCUGUGAGGUGUCAGUGUUUUGGUGUGUGUGUGUGUGCUGUGAGGUGUCAGGGGUUGCGGUGUGUGUGUGUGUGAGUGUCAGGGGUUGUGUGUGUGUGUGAGUGUCAGGGGUGCAGUGUGUGUGUGUGAGUGUCAGGGGUGCAGUGUGUGUGUGUGUGUGAGUGUCAGGGGUGCAGUGUGUGUGUGUGAGUGUCAGGGGUGCAGUGUGUGUGUGUGUGAGUGUCAGGGGUUCAGUGUGUGUGUGUGUGAGUGUCAGGGGUGCAGUGUGUGUGUGUGUGAGUGUCAGGGGUGCAGUGUGUGUGUGUGUGA